rnacentral:rRNA from 1 species
UACGGGGGGAGCAAGCGUUGUUCGGAUUUACUGGGCGUAAAGGGCGCGUAGGCGGCGUGACAAGUCACUUGUGAAAUCUCCGGGCUUAACCCGGAGCGGCCAAGUGAUGCUGUCGUGCUAGAGUGCGGAAGGGGCUACUGGAAUUCUCGGUGUAGCGGUGAAAUGCGUAGAUAUCGAGAGGAACACCUGCGGCGAAGGCGGGUUGCUGGGCUGACACUGACGCUGAUGCGCGAAAGCCAGGGGAGCGAACGGG